CUCCCCUGCACGAGCCCUCUCUCUCUCUCUGUCUCUGUCUCUCUCUCUCACACACACACACAGACACACACACACACACACACACACACGAACAGACACGGAACCCCAGCGGAGCCGGGAGGGGGGCCGGCGCGGGCGGUGGGGCACGAGCACCUGCAGGCCGGAGUCCGGGCUCUCCUGCCAACCACUGACGAGGCCUGCACUUCUGCGAUUUUUUUUUUUUUAAUGCAUUUCUUUUGCAGUUUUGUUUUUCUUUUCUUUUUUUUAAAAAAAUGA